GAGACAGGGUCUCACUAUGUUGCCCAGGCUGGAGUGCAGUGACAAUCACAGCUCACUGCAGCCUCCACCUCCUUGGACUCAAGUGAUCCUUCCACCUCAGCCUCCUGAGUAGCUGGGACUACAGUCGCGUGCCACCACACCCGGCUACUUUUUUUGUAGAGAUGGGGUCUCACCACGUUGCCCAGGCGGGUCUCAAACUCCUGGGCUCAAGCAAUCUGCCCACCUAAGCUUCCAAACUGCUGAGAUUACAGGCGUGAGCCACCGCACCAGAUCUGCUGCUAUUCCUUGGGCACCCACAAUGUGUGCUCUCUGUUGUAUCCAGAGAAGGAUGUGUGUGUGUGUCACAGGGAAUUGAGGCCCCCCUACUGCCCUCAGUCUCCUGCCUUGGGACUGUUAGUGAGAGGAGUGAACCCUCCCUCAUGGAAGCUGCAGUGUUUUGGGGUCUCCUUGUGAGAACAGCUCAGUCUUGUCCUGAACUAACCCAUUAGAGUGUGUGAGGGAGCAUUUCACUACCUUCACUUACACAGGGACUCCAGCGGGCCACUCAUUCUGUGACUCGUUUUCACCUGGCUUCAUUUCAAAAGAAACCUGUCUCACCACUGUGAGCAGAAAACCCCAGCACCAUCUGUUAAAGCUAGAGAGUAAGUGUAAAAAUAAGCUCCAAGAAAAUGGGGCAAUGGACUUGUGUUCUAGCAGGUCCUGAGGCUGGCUUCCCAUGCAGAGGUUGCCUGCGGAAGUCUGGGGGCUGAAGGCCUGUCUCUUCCUCUUUCCGCAGGGAUGUUGGGGCAAAUUAGCAUCAAACUGUGUCAUCCUUCUUGCCACUGUUUAAAGCUUCAUGGUCCUUCAGGGGGCAUUUUACCUGUUACCAUCGCUGCGAGACCUGCCCCUGACAUUAGACCUACAAGUGUGCUGCACACCCCCACCAACAGUCCCACCAGUGGACACCCAGGACCUGGCCUCAUGACCCUCAUCAGUCUGACCUCUGACACACCAUGUGUUUCACCCUUUAGCUCCUGUCUCCCGCAAUAGGAUGUGAGCUCCCUGAGGGCAGGGAUUUUUGUCUUACUCAUUCCUGUAUCCCCAGGGCCUAGAACAGAGUCUAGCACAUGGCAAGGGUUCAGUAUUUGUUGAGUGAAGGUAGGCUGGGUCCAGGAACCACCAGUUCACCUCAUAAGCCUCCUCCACUUGGGAAGCAGCACGUAGGUGACAUGGGCUGUCUCUGGAGUUGAAUGGCCCAGGUUUGAGCCCAGGAGCCCCUGCUUAGUAGCUGUGUGGCCUGGACUGAUUACCUAAGCUCUCUGUGCCACAGAUCACGAGAGCACGCAGCUCAGAGCAGUUGUGAGGAUGCAGGGGAAGCACCAGGGGCAGUGCCUGGCACAGACAAGUGUAUAAUAAAUGUUAGCUUUGAACAGUCAGUAGAAGGAAGUCAAAAUGACGACACACAUCCCCUUCUCUGAAGGAGGAUGAAAUUCUGGGCAUGGUGCCACUUAUGCCAAUUAAACACAUACCCAAGAACAUCAUAGAGUUUUUAAGGACACAGAUGCAUCUAAACUAACACAUUUAGGAGUAUUCAGAAGUAGUGAACUAGGUGUAUAGUUAAAGUUAAAAACAUAACAUUGAGUGAAAGAAGGCAAGAAACAGCAUGAGGUUUAGAGCAUAGUGCCAUUUAUACAAAUUAACACACAGUACCACCAUAUAUAGUUUAAGGACACAGACAUGUCUAUAGAAAAUUGAUUUAGAAGCCGGAGUCAGAAGCAGUGAACUCGGUCCACAUGUAGGGAUAGGGUUAAAGCUGAAGAGAAGGAAGUUGGGAGACACGAAGGGAGUAAAAUAAAACGAGAAAGGCUUCAUGUGAGGGAAGGACUGGGAAGGACUUCACGGCACACUAAGGACAGGGAAACAUGAGGGACUCAACGCCAUUUACUGGAGGGUUCACCCUCUUCCCACUCUAUAUGCCUUCCCAGAUAAUCUCAUCCUCUCCUGGGGCUUCAGCUGAUGGCUCCGGAGAUAUUCCCGGGGUCUGAGUCUCCCUUUAGACUUCACUCCUGCACUUCAGACGUAGAUGGCCAGCUGCCUCCCAGAUGACUUGGGCAACAAGUCCAAGACGGAGUCUUGCUUUGUCACCCAGGCUGGAAUGCAGUGGCGAGAGCUCGGCUCACUGCAACCUCCACCUCCCGGGUUCAAGCAAUUUUCCUGCCUCAGCAGGGAUUACAGGUGCCCACCACUGCUUCGGCUAAUUUUUGUUAUUUUCAGUAGAGACAGAGUUUCACUAUGUUGGCCAGGCUGGUCUCGAACUGCUGACCUCGAGAUCCAUCUGCCUUGGCCUCCCAAAGUGCUGGGAUUAAGGCGUGAACCACCGUGCCCGGCCUGGGCAACUGAUAUUCAUGUCUGAAGUGCAUGCCUAGCACGCCCGCUAGGAUCAGCUGCCCACUGUCCUUGGUGCUGAACUCAUACCCACAGCGCUUCCCUUUUGUGCUCCGCUGUCCCUGGUGCUGAACCCACAUCCCUAGCACUUCCCUUUUGUGUCCCGCUGCCUGCUGUUCUUGGUGCUGAACACACACCUUAGUGCCUCCCUUUUGUGCCCAGCUGCCUGCUGUCCCUAGUGCUGAACCCAUACCCCUAGUGCUCCCUCUGUGUCCAGCUGCUCAAUGCCCUUAGUGUUCAAUCUCACCCCAGAACUUCCUCAUAUGUUCCGCUGUCCACCGGCUUUGGUGCUGAAUGUUUAAACCAGCACUGGUAAGACCUGGUGGUUUACACAGAGGUGAAGGCACUGAUCUGGCAGUGUGGACACUGCAUAGGUGGUGCUACCAGUGCUGAGGCAGGGCCUGGGCCUAUCCUGCUCAGAUUGCCUGCAUGUUUGUGAUGAAUGAGUCAUAGUUUCCCACACACAAUGAGCUUUU
rnacentral:lncRNA from 1 species